GGUAGAUGGGACAGAGAGAAAGUGAGGUGUUUAAACGCUCGGAAAUCAUCUUCUAAUUUAGGAACCGAACUGCAAGGUAUCUUUCUCCCUUAAUGGCUUGAGCUGGGAAUCUGGAUUUUGACCCUCUUCUCUUGCCAGGCCCCCAAAACGUCUUCAGGCAUCAACAGAGGGCAAGGGUGAGGCUUCAGGGCGGCAGUGCCAUCCCGGUCUGGAACCCGAGGACUCAGACCCAGAGCCCCUCCCGGCCUCUGUCGACUCCAGCUUCUGCCGGCUGUCAUCGCCCGUCGUCGCCGCUGUUGCACGGUCGUUAUUAAGCACUUUAACACUUGCACAAGGAGUGUGCAACUCUCCAGUGACGCUCCACCCCGCAUCGCUGUCGGAGGAGAGCUGCAAUUGUUCUCCCUGUUUUGCACACGAGAAAAUGAAGGGCUGGGAAGGAAUAUGGAUACGAUGGCAGGAGCUAAAGCAGCCCUUUUAGACCACAAAGUGGAAGCCACCUGUUGAGGACGUCAAGCAACAAGACAGCCAGAGUCUGAAUCCCAGAUGACGUGGAACCACCACAGCCCACUGGACACGAACCCUUGGGCUGUUCCAUGGAGACGCUUAAACUUUUAUUUUGUUCAAGAUAGUUAUUUUCGCUUUUAUGACAGCAGCUGCACUGAUAUCCUGACCAAUACAAGAUUUAAAACAGAUUUUAGAACUAUUUAGAACAGAUUUUGGAACUAUUUUAGGCCGAGCUUUUUAAAACAAGCAUCAGUGACUGGAAAGUUAGACUCUGCUCAAAAAUACUGUUAAGGACUCUGCUCUCCAGGGAGAUUGAACAGCAAGCAUACAGUAAGGAGCAGUGUUUGGUGAGAAGAAACUCAACGUCUAAAACCCCCCUGGAACUGAGAUGUUUGGUAAGCCAAGCUCCCGGUCAGCAUCCCGGCCACGCCAAGCUCACAGGGGAUGCAGCAACCUGCUUCCUAGUAGCCGCCACACAAAUCCUGAGAUGAACUCUGAUUGGACCAACUUGUACCACAUGCCCUUCCCUGAACCAAUCAUGGUGGCCGUUGUGCUUUGGCUGCUCUGAUUGGCUGGUGCUAAGUCCCUUGCUUGUUGUCGGGCUGGGGUGUCACAGGAACACCCUGGACAGAGAGAACUUAUGGAAGGGGUGGUUCCCACGGAAAGGCAGGGUGCCUGGCACAGAAGAGCAUGCAAUCGAUGCAGGAGGCCCCUGAAUUAGCCAGCAUCCUUCAAACUCACGGGAUGAAAAGAAAGAAAAUUUAGAAAAUAGCAUAAAGCAUCGGGGGUCCCGGGGGGGAGUUGCUGUGGGAUUUCCCAUCAGCCGCUCUGCACAAUUUCUUUUUGGCAAAUGAAAGUAUUGAGCCCGGCUAGCUCUUCCUGCCAACGUUCAACAAGCGUGACUAUCCCCAGAAAGUAACUCAACAAAUCCCAGCAAGAGAUGCCCCCGGCUGGAGACGGAAAGGACAUUUCCAAAGCUACCGAUGACGUCCUCUGUGUUUCGGUAAUUUUCUGUGAAACACAGCAAAGGAGUUCAUUUGAAAUAAAGGGGGCAGUUAUGUACCAAAGGGUGGGGUGGGGGGGUGGCUUGUUAAUGCCACGGGAGAGAUGCUUCUGCCCAGCGAGAGGAGUCGUCUGCAUUAUUUCAGGCGUGCUGUUUACUGGAAGGACAGCAUGUGCCACUCUGUUCUUUUGGGGAGUUCUAAAAGAGGACUGUUUACCCUUGCAGCUAGUUGCUAUCUCAGUUUGGAAACCCCCAAAGGCAGAGCUUGUACCUUAGUUUGGGUUUCUCCAGAGGUGGGCCCUGAGACAAAGAUUCGAGGACGAAUAAUUUAUUAGGAAGGCGAAUGACAUACCAGUAGGGAAGAGGAAAGCGAGCCAGCAGAGGGAGGACAACAAAAUCAAGCAAGUUAUCAGGACGGUUACUACUGUGGGCAGCUGGAGCCGCCCGGUGUGGAGCACGCCUCUCAGAGGGACCCUGCUUGAUGGACCAGAGGGCUGGGGUGUUUGUACUCAGCCUCCUUGUGCGAUGGUUGACAGCUGCUGGGCAGAAGGGAGGGAGCAUGAAUUCUCCAGCGCCUCUAGCCUGCUUGACUCCAACAGCCAGGAAAAAGCCCAAACUCAUGCAGAAGGAGGAGAAGAAUUGCGAGACAUAAAAAUGUCCCACUGCCAAUGCCAGAAGUUCCAGCUCUGAGCGGAGGGCCCGAGUUACCCUGGGGAUAAACGAAGAUGAGUACUACACAGCCCGCGCCUGUGAGGGGCACCUCGCCAGCUGAGAGACUCACACGAGGAUUGCUGAGGCCAACACAGGAAGACGGGUCCACGCUGCCACAGAGGCGUGCACGAAGGCUGAAGUUCUGCUUUCGCCCCACCCAGAUAGAGAUCUCGCUCCCAAAAUGAAGAAGUAAGGAGAGACGAGAAGGACCGUGGUGACAAGCUGAUGCUGGUGCUUUCCAGAAGACCAUGACUUCCAAAGCAACCGGUGUUCUGGGGAAGGAACGUGGCUGAAUUUGAGACCCGCGGGGAAGAAGGAAGGCAGAGGCUGAAGACAAAGGCAGCGUAUCAGCACGCCUUCGGCCGCAUGGAACAAAAAACCCAACCCAAAGUGGCUUCAACAGUAAAAAUGUUUAUGAUCUUUACGAAGAAAUCCAGAGCUGGGUGGUUCCAGGGCCGGUUCCACACUCAACAAUGUUGCCAAGGACCCAGGUGCUCUCGGGGCACGUUUCCUCCCGUGUGUCUCUUACAAGAGGGGACGCCUUUCCCAGGAGCUCCCGGGCAGACUCUGCUUCACGUCCCCUUGGCGGGAAUUGUGUCACACGUCCAAACUCUAACCGCAGAGGUGACUUCGAGAAGGGACAGCUCACUGUCCCAGGCUCCAUUAGAACGGGUGAGCCAAGAAGAAGGCGGAAGGAUAUGAUGAAUAACCAAAAGUAUUGGCCUCAGAGGGGAAUUAACACUCACGGGGCACUGUUUCUGACCCUAGUUGUCCCCAAAAUUUCCAGCUUCCUCUUUAAUAUCUGACUAAUUAUAGAGCCCCAUGACUCUAAGAAGACCAGACUUUGUCAGGUUCUUUCUGCAGGGUGUUACUCAGAAGGAGGGAUGUCCACGUGUCCAUGGACCACCCGUGUGGCUGCUGGGCAGCUGCAGUGAGCCGUGCGUCUCUGGACUCCUACUGCCCUUGUCUGCCGCCUCUUCACUGCUGGCAGCACACGCUGCUCCUGUCUCCAACACCAUCUUGACCUGGAGGUGGUACCCAGCCCUCUCCCUUGACAGCCCCAAAAACAUGGCCCAGUUAAUGAGAAUACAGGUUUGAUUACUAUAACUGAGACUCCAGCUAGCAGUGGCUUACACAAGGCAGAAGCUAAUUUUGGACAAUCAAAAUGAUGCCUCUAAGCAACAGGAUGACGGACACGUGCGCGUCAGCUGAGAUCAGUCCUUCUUAUGUCCCUCUCGUCUAACAGUCCUUGUGUGAUCAGUCUGGGGAUGACGGGGCAGGCCCACGGGGUCCAGGUCCCAGGCUCCUUCUAUCUUGUUCUUUUCCAUGCCUUCCAGGUUGCCCUUGUUUGCACAGUUCAAAUUGGAGCCCACUGUGUCCCAUUCCAGGCAGCAGGAUAGAGGAAAAGGUGAAAGAAAGAACUGCCCCCACCCCCUGCCCAAUCCCCUGGGCAUUUGAAGGCAUGAUUGAGAAGUAGACCACGUCACUUCCACCCACAUCUGAUUGGCCGGCAUCUAGUCCACGGCAACUCUAGCUGCGAUGGAAGCUGGGAAAUGUAGCCUUUAGCUGGGAAGCCACGUGCACGGCUAUAAUCCUAUUUCUACGAAAGAAGAGGAGAAUUGAUAUUGGGGACAUUACUAUCUUACCCAAAAGCUAAGACGAGCCCAUAGCAGGGAACGAAAGUUUACUGAGCCCUUGGCGAUAACAGGUGGGAAUUACAAUGCAGAAAAGGAAAAUGCAAAAUGAAGUUGUAAACAGCCUGGAGCCCACGAGCCUGCAUUGGGCUGUGGUCGUCACCCUCCUUUCUCGCCAGCCUGCCGCCGUGUUGUGGGAGCCAGCCUACCUCCCACGGAGGGGGGCUUCCUAACCCUUUCUCUUCAGAAUUUAGCGCCCUCUCUUCCUCACCUACCCCAGCUACAGGCAGUGGGAACAUCCAUUCUUCAGAGGAAAGCUCCGUCCACUGUGUGGGUCCCCGUGGCCCAGGGGAGGCCAGUGUGAGAGUCGUAAGCACACUCCCCCCGCAAGUCUGGGUGCCUCUGCUUUGGGUCACUCCACGGGUGGGUCCUCUCUGUGGGUCUCCCUCCCGCACAAGGGGAAGAACCGUUCAGGCCAGCCCCUCCCUCUCUGCACAGUUGGGUCUCCAAUGGAACACCAUGUCUAUCUCCAAAUACAAAAACUACCGGAGCAAAUUCUUCACCCAAAAGACACACAUCUCUUCCAAGGACUACCAGGAACGCUUCUAGCUAAAGCUUAGAACUUAAUUUCUUUUCUCUAAGGCCACUGUCCUGCUACAGAUGCUCAACUUAUAGACAUUAUGCCAUCAGUGCUGUGUGACAGUGGACAAGUUACAUAACCACUCUGUUUCCUCAUCUAUGAAAUGAGGCUAUGACAGACCUCACAGGGUUGUUGGGAAGAUCUAGAGAGAUAAUGGAGGUAAAGCGCUGGCUUAGCACAGAGCCUGGCUCACAGUCAACGCCCUACACAUGUAGCUGUUACAAUUAUCGUUACUAAACAGUAGUGAACAACUCAAUAUGGGGAAUUUGUAUUUGGAUAAGGUCACUUAUCCAGUCAUUUUUAGGACUUAUAAGGUCACUUUUAGAACUUCCCCCAAGAGCAGUGGCUCCUCCCAGAAUAAAGGAGGAAGACCAUUUCCAUCUCCAAAGACAGCAACUGCUCCUCACCCACUUCAAGAACUUGAAAGUCUGGACCUCACCUCCAGAACCGGCUGCAUGAUUUGCGAGGCCCAGUGCAAAACGAACAUGCAGGGCCCCUCGUUCAAAAAUAUUAAGAAUUUCAAGACAGCGGCGGCAGAGCACUAAGCCAGGUGCAGGCGCUGCUGAGCGUGGGGCCCUGCGCCACCGCGCAGAUUGCACACGUGCCCAAGAGCCGGCCCUGCUCACCUCCGCCAGCAGGACAAACACUGGAGUUGCAAAGCAGCGGCUGCAGUGCACGCUGUGAAAACGCCUGGAGGCACUCGGCAGGCUGCUUUCUCCACUCAGCGACCUACCCAAUAUUAAUAACAACAGCCACGUUAUCUGGUCCUUGCCGUGAACUAGAGACCCGGCUGCGACACUCUCUCGUCCACCUGUCACAUCCUGCCUUCACGUGAAAGGUGGGAAGGCAAGCAUCAGAGAGGGUGAGAAACUUGUCCAAGGUCACACAAGCUCAGGUCAGCCAGAUGCCGGGACCUGCGCCCAGAACCACCACGUGCGUGACAACAGUGUCCCCCCCGCCUCCAACCCUCUAAACUGAAGGGCAUUGCAGGGACCUCCGGAACCCUCCCAGACCCUGCGGCGAGGAAAGCAUGGGGCCAGGUCUAGUUUCCAUCCCUGGGUCUAACUUCCCUCCUCGAACCUUCCUCUAUGCCUCUGAGCGUCUUUUCUCAGAACCCACGUGACCCCAGUUCCCCGCGAGCGCCGUCUCCUCCCCCCACUGGGCAGUCACCCCUGCGGGACAGACAGCUCUGGAUUACAUUUACGUAUCCAUUUUUAAAGGCUUGGAGUAAAGUCUAGAAUAUUUUCUGGGGGUGGAGGGUGCGGUAGGCUUCCUAAGGCUGGGGAAGAACCCAGUGAGGACGUGAGCGAGGAGCUUCUGGGCUGCUAACCUUCCUGUGAGUUCUGAAACAGUGCAGAAUUCAUGUAUCUUGAUCAAAUUUCAGAACCGGAAGCAGCAUCUAAAGCUAAACUGAGUUCCAAUUCUGGCUCUACCAUUUCUUAGCUGUGUGACCACGGGCAAGUUAUUUAACCUUUCUGUGCCUCAGUUCAAAUGGGGAAUAAUAAUAGUGCAGGCUUCACCGUGUUGUUGUAAGUAAUAAUUAUGAUCACUAUUAUUAUCUCUUCAUUGUUAUUAUUAUUUGUUCAGAGCUCAUGGGAGUUCUUGGAGAGACUGUGUAGCAUCAUGGCUGAGAGUAAAGAUGCUGAAACCAAACUGCCUAUAUCUAAAUCCCACUUCCCUACUUAUAGCUGUGUGACCUUGGUUAAGAAAUUGACCUCUCUGGGCCUCAGUUUCUUCAUUUGCCAAUGUUUCCCUUGGACAGAGAGAUGGCAGGUGAGACUCAACUGGACCAAUGACAUUCAAGGCCAGGACUUCUGCUGGGACCACCAGGGAAAAGAAGCCCUCUUUCCAUCAGGGUUGCUGAGCUGGCAGGAUGUGAGCCUGGGAUGGCUGGGGCCAUCCUGGUUACCUCGGGAGGAGAGCCUGCCUGAGAUAAAUCUAAAGAGGGGGAAGCAGAUAAGCGAGCUAGAGAGACAGAGUCGUGAUGACAUUGUUGGAGCCCCUGGAUGCGGCUGUGCCUGAAGCAAGCCCUCUUUGGACUUCCCAGUUUCAUGAGGCAGCAAAUUCCCCAUUUUGUGAAAGCCACUUUCAGUCGGGUUUUUCUCACUGGAAACCAUCUGGGCUGACACCAGGAGGUUAAGCAACUUGCCCGAGGCCUGAAAGCUAACAAGUAGCAGACGCAGGCUUUAGGAGCUUCUGCCCGCUGUGCCCAGGCCAGCAUCCUGCAUCUGGAUGCUCCCGGAUUUCACCUCCCUCUCCUCUCUGAGCAGCCGUGUUCUCAUCGGCAACGUGGGUAACAGCAGGCUCGCAGGGCUGCUGGGAAACGUGAAACACGAGAUAACACUGGGCUGAGUGCUGCUAGUGGCCAGCGGCCGAACUCUGCGCAUCCUGUCUCCGGCGCUGUGGGCCCGGGCCCGGCCCCCGGGGAAUGACCCAUCCCAGGGAAGGUCUUUGGCUGACCCCAAAUCAGCCAGCAGUCAAGGCGCCCAAACUGUUAGGAGAGCAUGUGCGAAUCUGAGAGGGACGGGCCACUUCCUUUCCCGGCCCUGUGUCCUCCCUGGUGCACAGAGGGAGCUGGGUGACCCUGAGGACCCCGGAGCUCCGAGUCCACGAGGUGGAAAGAAGUGCUGUCAACUUGCUUUCUGGAACCUUCCAAGGACUCUUGGGCUCAUCUGGGAAUGACCCGUAGCUCGAGGAAGACAGCACUGAAGCAAAUCAACUUGUCUCUUUUCUUCAUGAAGUUCAUGUUUAGCGAUGGAGAUAAGCACAGAACACAGACACAUGACCUAGCACCACGUGGUGCCAGGAAGGAGAAGGGGUGUCCUCGAACAGCCGCUGAGUGCUAAGAAGAGAAGGGAGCGAGGGAUGGGGCUCUGUGGAGCAGGAGGCGUCAGGAGCGGCCUCCUGGAGGAAGCGACCGUUCAUCGGGGACAGUCGGGUCUCGCUCUGCAUCCCCAGCCCUCAGCACGUGCCGUCUCCCAGAAAAGAGCCCGGGCCAGAUUUUAGCGGGAAACUUGCUGAUGCUGCUAGCUUAGGAGUCGAUUAUCCAUUGGAGCCUUGGUAAACAGCCAUCCCUCUCCACUGACAACGCUUUUGGACAUUUUUAAAAGUUUAAUGGGUCAUUGAUUUCUUCCAUUAGCCAAAUCCAUGAAGGGAAGGCCCGAGAAGCCACGUGGGACCAUCCUCGGGCAGGCCUGCCAGGAAAAGGUUUCAGCUGUCACGACACACUUUGUUUACUCUCUAACCAGCCAUCACUGAAAGAUGCCCAGUCGCCACCAUCACGUCUGGGGGGUUCCAGGCCUCGGCAAGGAGCUAGCAGAGCCCUCCCCACGAAAGCUGAGCCUCAGAGAGCGGUGGAAGAUCCAGCACCUUGGGUCCCUCCACCAGGCCAAAUACCAGGCGCUUGGGACACGAACAAGAAGUCGAGGUCCCUGCCCUCAUGGAACAUUACGGGGGGGGGGGGGGGGGCAGGAGAAGGAAGCAAGCUGGCAAACAAUUGAGCAGGGGAAUUUUAGACAAAGAUGAGUGUGACGAUGUAAGAAACAAGGUCUGUGGUAGAGAGUGACUCGGGGCUAUUUUAGAAAGGGUGGCGAGAGAAGACCUGUCUGCAGAAGUGACAUUUGAUCUGAGACCUAAAGGGUGAGAAGAUCUGCAAGAAGAGUGGUCCAGGCAGAAAGGACAGCUGGUGCAAAGGUCCUGAGGUAGAAACUAGCUCAAUAUAUUAGAGGACUGGGCUGGAGUGGAAUGCAAGAAGAGGAGAGAGUUUGAGGAGGUGCCAGGGGCCACACGGGUCUUGUGGGCAAGGGUUAGGACUUAUUUGGGUUUCAUUCUAAAAAGCAUGGGAAACUAUUGGAGGGUUUUACAAAGAAGAGUUUCAUGACCCAAUUAUUAAAAUCUCUCUCUGGCUGCUGCUAUGUGAAGAAUUUACCCUCUGCCACUGUAGUAAGUUGAGUGGGGGCAGCCAAGAAAGAUACGUCCAAGUCUUCACCCUCAGAACCUGGAAGAUGACCUUAUUCAGAAAAAGGGUCUUCGCAGAUGUAAUUAAUUUAAGGAUCUCAAAAUGAGAUCAUCUUGGAUCACCUGGGAUUGACAAAUCAUCCUGGAUCAGGGUGGGUCCCGAAUCCAAUGACAGGUAUCCUUAUAAGAGGGAGGCAGACGGAGAUCAGACAGCUGCAAGAGGAAAAGACACAGAGAAGAAAA